rnacentral:miRNA from 1 species
AUACAAAUUGCCUGGGAUCUUGUUAAAAUGCAGAUUCUCAUUCCAUCUGCCUGGGUGGGAUCUGAGAUUCUGUAUUUCUAGACUUCCAGGCUAGACUAAU